rnacentral:rRNA from 1 species
CCUACGGGCGUCAGCAGUGAGGAAUAUUGGUCAAUGGACGCAAGCCUGAACCAGCCAUGCCGCGUGCAGGAAGACGGCUCUAUGAGUUGUAAACUGCUUUUGUACGAGGGUAAACGCAGAUACGCGUAUCUGUCUGACAGUAUCGUACGAAUCAGGCACGGCUAACUACGUGCCAGCAGCCGCGGUAAUACGUAGGGAGCAAGCGUUGUCCGGAUUUACUGGGUGUAAAGGGUGCGUAGGCGGUCUUGCAAGUCAGACGUGAAAACCACGGGCUCAACCUGUGGACUGCGUUUGAAACUGUGGGGCUUGAGUGAAGGAGAGGUAGGCGGAAUGCGUGGUGUAGCGGUGAAAUGCAUAGAUAUCGCGCAGAACUCCGAUUGCGAAGGCAGCAUGCCGGCUCCACACUGACGCUGAGGCACGAAAGCGUGGGUAUCGAACAGGAUUAGAUACCCGAGUAGUC